GGUAAGGUGGCCGAGGGUUUAGGCGGUGGCUUGUAGCUCCAUAAACAAAGGUUCAAGUCCUUUUCUUACCA
rnacentral:tRNA from 1 species